rnacentral:lncRNA from 1 species
AGGAUAUGUUUCUAAUCUUUGGGAAUGGAGAACUCUAGGUUCAGGGAUUUACAGAUAGACUUUAUGUUUGAUAUAGAUGAUCGAAAGUUGACAUCUAGAAGUCUGUUCAUUUGCAAUGGUGGUGCAGUUAGCUAGAAGAGUUCCAAGUAGAUGGUGAUUGCUGAUUCUACCAUAGAGGCAGAGUAUAUUGCUGCAUCGGA